rnacentral:misc_RNA from 1 species
AUGAAGAACGUAGCGAAAUGCGAUACUUGGUGUGAAUUGCAGAAUCCCGUGAACCAUCGAGUCUUUGAACGCAAGUUGCGCCCGAAGCCAUCAGGUUGAGGGCACGUCUGCCUGGGCGUCACAUAUCGUUGCUCGAUGCCUAUCGCAUUGCGAUAGGACUUAGGGCGAAUGAUGGCUUCCCGUGAGCGUUGUUGCCUCGCGGUUGGUUGAAAAUCGAGUGCAUGGUGUCGGGUGUACCAUGAUGGAUGGUGGUUGAGUGAUGAUGCUCGGGACCAAUCAUGGGUAACUCCACCAGAAUUGGGCUCGGUGACCCACAUGCGUCCCUUGGAUGCUCCCUAAGGAGACCUCAGGUCAGGCGGGGCUACCCGCUGAGUUUAAGCAUAUCAAUAAGCGGAGGA